rnacentral:rRNA from 1 species
AUGGAUAGCAGAAAGGCCUCACAGGAUCUGCACACCAAAGCAAGAAGGAACACAAUGCGGACACUUCACGGCCCAAUUUGUGAAACACUAGAAUGGAAAGAACUGGUCAAGGACAGAGAGGAUUUUCAUCACAGCAAGAUGGAUGCCGAAUGGAAACCAGAGUACGUAUACACACUCAUAUUCGGUAAAACCAACCAAAUAAAGCACCGUCAACUUCCUGAAAAAAUCAAAGUUUUCAAACCAGAGACUACAAACCUUUUUUCGCCCAUGAAAGAGCGAGAUGAAAAAAACAGGAUCAAUCAAGGAGCACCAACAAAUACCCGCAACACCGGCAUUCGUUCAAACAUGUGCGUAAGGCAAACGAGAUCUACGACAUAG